rnacentral:rRNA from 1 species
GACAGAGGGUGCAAACGUUGUUCGGAAUUACUGGGCGUAAAGCGUGUGUAGGCGGUCUUCUAAGUCGGGUGUGAAAUCCCUGGGCUCAACCCAGGAAGUGCACUCGAAACUGGAGGGCUAGAGUAUCGGAGAGGUUGGUGGAAUUCUCGGUGUAGAGGUGAAAUUCGUAGAUAUCGAGAGGAACACCAGUGGCGAAGGCGGCUAUCUGGGCUGAAACUGACGCUGAGGCGCGAAGGCUAGGGUAGCAAACAGG